rnacentral:rRNA from 1 species
UACGUAGGGGGCAAGCGUUGUCCGGAUUUAUUGGGCGUAAAGAGCGUGUAGGCGGUUUGGUAGGUCCGUUGUGAAAACUCGAGGCUCAACCUCGAGACGCCGGCGGAAACCAUCAGGCUAGAGUCCGGAAGAGGAGAGUGGAAUCCUGGUGUAGCGGUGAAAUGCGCAGAUAUCAGGAAGAACACCCGUGGCUAAGGCGGCUCUCUAGUACGGUACUGACGCUGAGACGCGAAAGCGUGGGGAGCGAACAGG